rnacentral:rRNA from 1 species
AAUAGAUACCCCUGGUAGUCCACGCUGUAAACGUUGGGCGCUAGGUGUGGGGGGCCUCUCCGGUUCUCUGUGCCGCAGCUAACGCAUUAAGCGCCCCGCCUGGGGAGUACGGCCGCAAGGCUAAACUCAAAGGGAAUUGACGGGGCCCGCACAAGCGGCGGAGCAUGCGGAUUAAUUCGAUGCAACGCGAAGAACCUUACCUGGGUUUGACAUGGCCGCAAAACCGGCAGAGAUGUCGGGUCCUUCGGGGGCGGUCACAGGUGGUGCAUGGCUGUCGUCAGCUCGUGUCGUGAGAUGUUGGGUUAAGUCCCGCAACGAGCGCAACCCUCGUUCGAUGUUGCCAGCGCGUUAUGGCGGGGACUCAUCGAAGACUGCCGGGGUCAACUCGGAGGAAGGUGGGGAUGACGUCAAGUCAUCAUGCCCCUUAUGUCCAGGGCUUCACGCAUGCUACAAUGGCCGGUACAAUGGGCUGCGAUACCGUGAGGUGGAGCGAAUCCCAAAAAGCCGGUCUCAGUUCGGAUCGGGGU